rnacentral:tRNA from 1 species
UGAAACUUAGGGUAACCCGCUUUAAACCAAAGGCCUUCAAAGCCUUAAACAAGAGUUAGACCCUCUUAGUUUCUG